rnacentral:tRNA from 1 species
GCCGCCGUAGUAUAGCCCGGUCAAGUAUGCGGGCCUCUCGAGCCCGUGACACCCUGCUAGGUCCGUUGAGUAAGGGGUGCGGGAAACCCGGGUUCAAAUCCCGGCGGCGGCA